GGGAAGUUGGCUCAGUGGUAGAGUGCUUGCCUUGCAUGCAUGAGGCCCUGGGUUCAAUUCCUCAGCACCUCA
rnacentral:tRNA from 1 species